UUCAAACCGCAGACGAAAUGAAGAAUAGGGAGGGAGAUUGUGAGAGAGAGGCCCUAAAGUCCUAUUGAAAGAGGUCUCAGAGUGAGAUAGAGAAUAAGUGAUAAAUAGGGAGAAGGGGAAGAGAAAAAAAAAAAAAAAAGAAAAGAGAAAGGAAUUGUGAAAGCCUAUUUCCCUCGUCUCCCUAGAUAAAAUUUUCUAGCAUUGCCACGUCUGUUCAUCUUCUAGCUUUCUCUCUUCUUAUCUGAAGCUGUUUUUCAAUGAGUCGUUUAGGGUUUAAAUCCGUGGUCUAUCACGGUGAGCUCUGUUUGGGAGAACUGGACGCCAUUCCCGCGACGGACAAGAAUUUCCAGUUCCCAAACAACGAGAUACGGAUUCACCGCAUCUCGCAAAGCGGGCGUUGUCCACCUCUUUCAAUUCUCCAAACCGUUUCCUCGUAUUCCGUUCGCUGUAAGCUUGAAUCUUCUUCUCCGCAUGAGCAGCCUCAUUUGAUCAACCUUCACGCCGCUUGCUUCCAUGAAUCCAAGACGGCUGUGGUUUUGGUUGGAGAUGAGGAGAUACACUUAGUUGCAAUGCCGAGUAAGCUGAAGAAGUUUCCGUGCUUUUGGUGCUUUCCAGUUCCUUUAGGUCUCUACGAUUCGUGCUUAGGCAUGCUUAAUUUACGCUGUCUAGCUAUUGUGUUUGAUCUUGAUGAGACUCUUAUAGUCGCGAACACUAUGAAGUCGUUUGAGGAUAGAAUUGAGGCUCUUAGGACUUGGAUUGCGCGUGAGACUGAUCCAGUGAGGCUAUCUGGAAUGUCUGCUGAGCUGAAGCGGUAUGUGGAUGAUCGAAUGCUAUUGAAGCAGUACACUGAGAGCGAUUACGUUAUGGAUAAUGGAAAAAUGUUAAAGGUCCAACUUGAGGAGGUUCCACUACCAUCUGAAACGCAUGAGAGGCUUGUUAGACCUGUGAUUAGAUUGCAAGAUAGGAAUAUUGUCCUUACUCGUAUCAAUCCUGAGAUUCGUGAUACUAGUGUACUUGUGAGGUUGAGGCCUGCAUGGGAGGAUUUGCGAAGUUAUUUAACUGCAAAAGGACGCAAAAGAUUUGAAGUUUAUGUUUGUACAAUGGCUGAGAGGGAUUAUGCCUUAGAAAUGUGGAGGCUUCUUGACCCAGAGUCACACCUGAUAGCUGCUAAGCAACUGCUGUACCGUGUUGUUUGUGUUAAAUCAGGGUCCAGGAAAUCUUUGUCAAAUGUCUUCCAAGAUGGCAUGUGCCAUCCAAAGAUGGCCAUGGUAAUUGACGAUCGGUCAAAGGUUUGGGAAGACAAGGAUCAAUCAAGAGUUCAUGUAGUUCCUGCAUUCACACCGUACUAUGCUCCUCAGGCUGAGACAGCAAACGCCGUUCCAGUCCUCUGUGUGGCAAGAAAUGUUGCUUGCAAUGUCAGAGGUUGUUUUUUCAAAGAAUUUGAUGAUAAUCUAAUACGAAGAAUAUCUGAAGUCUUCUAUGAAGAUGAGGUGAUAAAUUUACCUCAUGCUCCUGAUGUGAGCAACUACAUGAUAUCUGAGGAUGCGGGUUUUGUGCCCAAUGGUUUUAGUAAUGCUCCCAUUAAUGAAGGCAUGAGUGGUGUUGAAGUUGAGCGGAGAUUGAACCAUUUGGAUGAGAAGAAUGUUAUUAACCCAGCUAGUCAUUUUAUGACAAAUAGUCCUGAGUUGAGAUCCGAAAUCUCCCAGUCACCUGUUGGAAUAAUUCCAAAUGUCACUGGACCAAUGUCUCCAACAACCCUCAUUCCUUCACAGAAACCUAGUUUGCUUGGAGCUCCUAGACGAGAUUUAAGAAAUCAAAAUUCAGGUCAGCCACCACUCCUGUCCAGGGUACCUGUGCCAUUGUCAUCAUCCUCAGUACCUAUGCCAAUACCAUCAUCCUCUAUACAGCCACAAUGUGGCUGGCUUGUGGAAGAAGAUAUCAACACAGCACAUGUAAAUACUCGGCCUUCAGGCUUUGCUCUGGAAAAUGAUUUGCCAAAGCCUGAUAAAUUGCGAUCACUUCAGAAUCCAUUUUCUCAUAGCCCACCAGUGUCUGCUUCCUCAGGUUUAGUCUCACAUGCAUCGCAAGUGAAGAGUGAAGAGGCAUUUGCUGGACAUGACAUGCAAAAACAAAGUCUUCCUUCUGGAGGUCAUCCAUCAGAUGUUGGUGUUUCUUCUCAGAAUCCUGUAUCAUCUAAUUUUCAACCUGAAUCUGUGAAAUUAAAUCUUCUACCAUCCCACUUGUCUAUUGGAGUGCUGCAAGAAAUUGGAAGAAGAUGCAACUCAAAGGUUGAGUUCAGAUCUGUUGUAAGCACCAGUAAGGAUUUGCAAUUUUCUGUUGAGGUUUUGUUCACUGGUGAAAAGAUAGGUGUUGGGAUGGGUAAAACCAGGAAGGAUGCACAUCAGCAGGCAGCUGAGAAUGCCCUUCACAGCUUGGCAGAAAAAUAUGUUGCAUAUAUUGCACCUCAUUCUGGAGCUGUUGACCAUGAUUUUGAUAAGCUGUCCCUUGGAAAUGAGAAUGGAUUUAUAUGGGACAUUGUGAAUCCUGGAUCAAGUGAAGUGGUGCCAGAAGAUGGAACACCGAAAGAAAGUACUCCUGAGGUGGGGAUUUUUGAUGAUGCUCUCUCUCAGUAGUCAAUUUGAUUUAUUUGUUCAAAAACAUAGGUGAUGCUUGGAUAACGGGUAUGAGGGCAAGAAAUUUCCAGAUGAGGGGUAGUGGUUAUCUGGACAGAAACCACUCCUUUUAUGGAUUUUGCAAUGCACCAAGAUGUGGGAGCUAAAAAGUAAAGGAAGUGAGCUGGCUUCAUGUCUGCUACUGAUGCCUUAUGCAGGCUCCAUUUAUUCCUGUUUAAAGGAUAAUGAAGUUGAGCCUUCAAUCACUUCGUCUAAUUUUGUCAAUCAGCAACAACAAAAGCGUGCAAACUCCCCUAGAUUGCUGCAGUCUGUUCCUAGUAAAAGAACAAAGGAGGAAUUAGUGCGUGGUUCACAAAGUCUUCAAUUUUCUCGGCAUCAGAAGAAUGGGAAUCAUGUUUCAUGAAAGCCAAAAAAUACAAGUGCUAACUGACCAGGUUUUUUGACGUCUACAAUUCUGCAUAUUUUAUUUAUGCAGAUUCUGGAAAAAUUUGCAGUUCGCUUAGGUCGGGCCAAAUAUAUUUUUCUCCUCCCUCUUCAAUUUUGCUUCUUCUCUUAAUAGGAUUUGUAUCUUUUUUAAAAAAUUUUUUUUUCCUUUUCAUAUAUAUAUUUUUAAUUUUAUUUCA